ACAGACUUCAAAAGCAAAUGGUCGGCACAAGCUGGAACUUAAAUUUGGGAAAUGAAAGGCAUAACAAGUGUAUGCAGGAUGGUAGUUCAGGCAGUGGAAUGCUUCUCCUGUGAAUUGCUGGACUUCAGAAUAAAUGGCUGAGAACCUAAUGUUGGAUAUGGGA